AUAUGUUUAAUUUCAGUCGAUGCUUCGGCGCACAAGAAAAUGCUAGCCAAAUAUAUAACUCAGCAUCCCCUGUUCGCCUACACCUACAGGGAGAUUCAUGAGCCUCUCGGAACCCAGAGAUACAAAAUGCAAUGCUGCACAGUGCACACAAGUUCUAAGAUCUAGAAGAAAGGAUUGAAGAUUCAUAACAUAUUGGAGGCUUGAAAGUGCACAUACCCAUAGAUUGGACGUUAAGCUCAACGAGACCAUGCGAUGCAUCUCAGGCACUAUCCGAUCUACAACCGCCACUGGCUGCCGGCAUUGAGUCACAUUGCCCCUCCUCACAUCCGACGACUCAAGGCGUUGAAGAGGGAGGCUGAGAAUAUCACGAAUAACCCCACAAUGCCUGUCCACGAGGAAUUCUGCCGCCCGACUGCCCGCCGACCCUGUGCUACAGCUGGGAGCCUGAGCAGCUUUAAUAUUUCGGAUAGGUGGAUAGCGGAAUGGUCAGCUUCGGCAGCUCGGAGUUGCUGUAUAUCUGACCCAACUAAAAAACCAAAAGGGUUUGACCUUCCUCGGAAAAUCUGGUGCCGCCUGAGAACCGGACAUGGCCGCUGCAAUUCAGCCACACAAAUGGAGGUAGACGGCUUUCCCACUUUGCGAAUGCAGAAUGCAGACCACUUAGCAUAUCUUCCAACGCUGCCUACUCCACUCCUCCUCCACUCCUGGGCCUGUUGAGGACCUGAAGACCGUGACACCUGACUUGGUUGCUUGGCUUGGCAACCUCAAGGCUACACUCUGAAUGCCCUCAUCAGUUUAUGAUAUGAAAUGAAAUCACUUUAUUGGAGCAUUCCACGAGCUGUCCCGUACAAACGCAUUUUAUUUCCUGUGUUGCGACUUUUUUUUUCGCCAUUUAAAGCAAGCGAUUAAUUUUCCGUGCAUGUUUGACCAUUUGUCAUAGAAAAGGAAACUCUUAUACCUGCAAAUCUCCAGAAAAUCUGCAUUUCUACGGGACAAACGGUAGACAAUUGCAUGGAAUGCUCCAUUGCCAAAACAUGAUAAGUUGAUGGUAGAAAAAAUAUUAGGAAUACAAACCAUAUACCUACAUAUAAAUUCUAUGAUAAGUAUGUACUAAGUUAUUCUAGGUUAAGUACUAACUUAUUGUCUACUCUAUACAUAGGUAAUUACACUUAGCAAGACAUGUUGGCCGUGGGUACCAAGCUCAGCAUGUGCUAGACUGGCGUCCAGCGCUGGUUUUCAGUUUGGCCCCUUUUUGUUGGAGGUCUGAGAGGAAUGUUGAUCUUUUCUGCGCCGUUAAGCAUUCUAUUUAUAUUGGAAACGAAACUUAUAGAUGAGCAGUUAUGAAAUAGCAAUACUACAAUAAUAUGGAUAUCAAAUAAAAGCUAGUGAGAAGACCAUUCCAAAAAUAUAUAUAUGUGUCAUACCUAUCCACAAAUAAAACAACAAACAACCUUUUCAGUUCAUUAGUAUUAUCAUUAAGCGUUUUACAACGUAAGUUAGGCCGUCGAAUCAGACAGAAUGGUAAGGGCCCCCGCUCAGUGGCGAAACUGAGGCAGCAGGGAAACUUUUGUCAGUCGUAUUUACCACCACUGUGAAGUGUGAAAUGCGGAUGGUAAUCUGGCCCACAGCGCAAAAGAGAAAGACGAUCUUUUAGGAACUCUUUUUGCAUCGAACUCGACCUUGAAAGACGACGGUAGCGCCCUACCGCCCACCAUCCCGUAGUGUGAAUACUCUAUGCCAGAAACUUCUAUCAAGCAGAGGGAUAUUCGGCGGGAGUUGCUAUGCUUUCGUUUUAUAAGGCGAGCGGGCCAAGUGCUUCAGAGUUGUGUCCAGUGUUAGCGCGUCUUACGUUAGGGGUCUCCUGUCGAAGUUACCAUCUUAUGGACUGUCCAAUAGACUACCUAUUAUGCAAGUGGAUCGCUAGCCCUUUGUCCGGCAGGCGCAUAUGAGCCGUAGUUGACGGAACCUGCUUCAAUAGCUGCUGCUGCAUAUCUGUGACAUGUUGUCUAUCGACGACAUUCAUCGAUAUGUGGACUACUGAGGCUUCCUAUACACUAUACAGGAUGGCUAAAAAAUAACUACAUUCCCGUUGCCAGGGAGGUUUUGGGAUUAUACUGAGUAACUUUUGCUACGGGACCAACCUCGAAAUCGCGAAAAAAAUAGUUUACCCUCCCAUAGAAAUUGGACCAGCCAAAAUGUAUGAAACAGCCAAAUUUUUUUUCGCGACUUAGGGGUUGGUCCCAUUUCGUUUCGGAGAGGGGGGGGGGAGGCGCAAAUUUGGUGCCUGCCCCGGGCGCCAUAUGACGUUCCUGGUACAAAAGCUGUUCAUACUUCAUAGUAAUCCAGCGAUAAAGCUGCUGGCAUGAUGGGCACUUUCACACCGGGUACGGCAGCCAAUGAUUUGUUUGUACACCUACAUUUAAUGUGUAAAUAAACUUUGUUUAAUUUUUUGGCAA